rnacentral:rRNA from 1 species
UCCAUAGGUUAAUGAGGCGAACCGGGGGAACUGAAACAUCUAAGUACCCCGAGGAAAAGAAAUCAACCGAGAUUCCCCCAGUAGCGGCGAGCGAACGGGGAGCAGCCCAGAGCCUGAAUCAGUGUGUGUGUUAGUGGAAGCGUCUGGAAAGGCGUGCGAUACAGGGUGACAGCCCCGUACACAAAAAUGCACAUGCUGUGAGCUCGAUGAGUAGGGCGGGACACGUGGUAUCCUGUCUGAAUAUGGGGGGACCAUCCUCCAAGGCUAAAUACUCCUGACUGACCGAUAGUGAACCAGUACCGUGAGGGAAAGGCGAAAAGAACCCCGGCGAGGGGAGUGAAAAAGAACCUGAAACCGUGUACGUACAAGCAGUGGGAGCACGCUUAGGCGUGUGACUGCGUACCUUUUGUAUAAUGGGUCAGCGACUUAUAUUCUGUAGCAAGGUUAACCGAAUAGGGGAGCCGAAGGGAAACCGAGUCUUAACUGGGCGUUAAGUUGCAGGGUAUAGACCCGAAACCCGGUGAUCUAGCCAUGGGCAGGUUGAAGGUUGGGUAACACUAACUGGAGGACCGAACCGACUAAUGUUGAAAAAUUAGCGGAUGACUUGUGGCUGGGGGUGAAAGGCCAAUCAAACCGGGAGAUAGCUGGUUCUCCCCGAAAGCUAUUUAGGUAGCGCCUCGUGAAUUCAUCUCCGGGGGUAGAGCACUGUUUCGGCAAGGGGGUCAUCCCGACUUACCAACCCGAUGCAAACUGCGAAUACCGGAGAAUGUUAUCACGGGAGACACACGGCGGGUGCUAACGUCCGUCGUGAAGAGGGAAACAACCCAGACCGCCAGCUAAGGUCCCAAAGUCAUGGUUAAGUGGGAAACGAUGUGGGAAGGCCCAGACAGCCAGGAUGUUGGCUUAGAAGCAGCCAUCAUUUAAAGAAAGCGUAAUAGCUCACUGGUCGAGUCGGCCUGCGCGGAAGAUGUAACGGGGCUAAACCAUGCACCGAAGCUGCGGCAGCGACGCUGAUGCGUUGUUGGGUAGGGGAGCGUUCUGUAAGCCUGCGAAGGUGUGCUGUGAGGCAUGCUGGAGGUAUCAGAAGUGCGAAUGCUGACAUAAGUAACGAUAAAGCGGGUGAAAAGCCCGCUCGCCGGAAGACCAAGGGUUCCUGUCCAACGUUAAUCGGGGCAGGGUGAGUCGACCCCUAAGGCGAGGCCGAAAGGCGUAGUCGAUGGGAAACAGGUUAAUAUUCCUGUACUUGGUGUUACU